rnacentral:misc_RNA from 1 species
AACUUUCGGCAAUGGAUCUCUUGGUUCCGGCAUCGAUGAAGAACGCAGCGAAAUGCGAUAACUAAUGUGAUUUGCAGAAUUCAGUGAAUCAUCGAGUCUUUGAACGCACAUUGCGCCCCCUGGUAUUCCGGGGGGCAUGCCUGUCCGAGCGUCAUUGCUGCCCUCAAGCACGGCUUGUGUGUUGGGCUCCGUCCCCCCGGGGACGGGCCCGAAAGGCAGCGGCGGCACCGAGUCCGGUCCUCGAGCGUAUGGGGCUUUGUCACCCGCUCUGUAGGCCCGGCCGGCGCCAGCCGACAACCCAUCAUCCUUUUCAGGUUGACCUCAAAUCAGGUAGGACUACCCGCUGAACUUAAGCAUAUCAAUAAGCGGAGGCU